rnacentral:rRNA from 1 species
UACGAAGGGGGCUAGCGUUGUUCGGAAUCACUGGGCGUAAAGCGCAUGUAGGCGGGUCUUUAAGUCAGGGGUGAAAUGCCAAGGCUCAACCUUGGAACUGCCUUUGAUACUGGAGACCUUGAGUCCGGGAGAGGUGAGUGGAACUGCGAGUGUAGAGGUGAAAUUCGUAGAUAUUCGCAAGAACACCAGUGGCGAAGGCGGCUCACUGGCCCGGUACUGACGCUGAGAUGCGAAAGCGUGGGGAGCAAACAGG